GGCUGAGCAAGGCAUGCAAAAAAGCAGCUCCCUCCAUGGCCUCUUCGUGAACUCUUGCUUCUGGGAGCCUGCCCUGUUUGGGUUCCUGUCCUGACUCCUUCAGUGAACGACAAUGCUAAGGGGGGUGCUACCUACAUCCAGCAUUGGUCUUUCUCUUUAAUCUUUCUGGAAAUGCCCUCAUAGUCACACCCAAAGGAGUGUCUCUAUGGAGAUUCUAAAUCCCCUCAAGUUGAGAAUAAAGGGACCAGUGAGAUGG